CAGUGAGUGUGCCCUCUUUGGAGCCUGACUUGACAGGAUAAAAGGGUCUCAAAAUUGUGCUGUCUGUUGAUGGAAGGGCUGGAGAAAAGCAGCUAGUGUGCAGGGCCCCAUUGCUGACUGUCCCGGGUCUGCAAGGCUCUCCUGGGACAGCAAGCAGGAUUCUUCUAUUCUACUGAUGAAGAAAUGGGAAGCUGCUUGCUCCACAGCCAGUUCAUAGGACACCAACCAAGCAGAGCCACACCCAGACUUGAAGGAGAAGACUGACCGCCAUCUUGGACUCUGAGAUGGAUGAAGUGCAAGAUGAUACCAAGGUGCUCUUGCUGACCACCUGUUGAAGACAGAGGUGCACAAAAUGGAAGGAGCCUGGGUCCCUGAAUGUCUGCAUGGAGUUGAGCCCCUGCGCCAACCUGUAUCAGAUGGUGACAUAAAUUGAAUCAUGUCCCUGACAAACACCUUCAAGUCCUAACCCCCAGUCCUGUCCUGCGGAUGUGAACCCAUUUGUAGACAGGAGUGUCGAAGAGCGUAUUGAGAUGAGGCCAAAUGGAAUCAGAGUGGCCUUCAUCCAAUAUGUCUGGAGUCCUUACAAACAGAGGAAAUGUGAACACCGGAGGAAGAGUGAGAAGGAGACAGAAGGAGAUAUAUGACCAUGUGACAAAGGCAGACACCGAGUUACAGGGUACAGCAAGCCAUCACCAGCACGCUACGGACUUCAGAGGAAGCACAACCUGCUGACCCCUCGACUUUGGACUUCUAGCCUCUAAGACCAUGAGUCAAUGAAUUCCUGUCGUUUAAGCCAACCCAUCUGCGGUAUUUGUCAUAGCAGCCCUGGCAAACUGAGACUGGCCAUCACACCCGACCUUGACCGGGGACCUGAAUUUUUGAGCAUUGGACCCUUCUGCCCUGUACUGCAAUGGGAACUUGGGGUCCCUGGAAGCCCCUUCUCUCCCAACUCCAACACACAAUAAGGUCCUUUCAUGCUUGGGAAGGGGGAGUGGAUAUGAGGAAGGAGACCCUUUGGGAAGCCCUGGGAAAUUGGGUCAUGCCAGGCCCCCAGCCGCAGACUCUCAGGUUGGCUGGUGGGCUCUUUAGCAGAUGGGUCUCAUCGUGCCCCCCACACCCUGAACAGGUUCAGUGGCUGGUGGAGGGUCCCCUGCUUGUCUGGAGGUGGACAGAGACCCAGCCACCAUGACUGAGAGCCAGUUGAAUGGUCAGAAGCCUCCAGGAAAAUGUGGGGGCACCCCCAAACUGACCGCAAUUGAAUUUCUAUGAGAGUAGGAGUCAGAAAAUGAAUUUGAGAUAUAUAAAAAAAAUCUUUAAAAAGAUUGUUAAACUUCCAAGGUUGUGGGUUGAACAUUAUCCUGGUUACCUGCUCAAU